AUACUUACCUGGCGCGGGGGAUACCGUGAUCAAGAAGGCGGUGCCUCCAGGACGAGGCCUGUACAUUGCACUCCGUAUGGGCUGACUCCUGCGACUACCCCAAAUCGUGGCUCGAGCGCAUAAUUUUUGGUAGUGGGGACAAGCGUUCGCGCUGUCCCUU
rnacentral:snRNA from 1 species